rnacentral:sRNA from 1 species
GGCGAGCCGACCUCUGGGCUAACCUAACACCGGAGCCAUGGCCUCUGCUGGGGUCGCAGCCGGGCGACAGGCGGAGGAUGUAUUGCCGCCAACGUCCGACCAGCCGCUGCCUGACACCAAGCCGCUGCCGCCUCCUCAGCCGCCGCCGGUCCCUGCGCCUCAACCGCAGCAGUCGCCGGCGCCACGGCCUCAGUCACCUGCCCGCGCGAGGGAGGAAGAGAACUACUCCUUUUUACCUUUGGUUCACAACAUCAUCAAAUGGUAAGAACCUAGGAGAGGACCAGGCCCCAUACUCCCUCCAGCUUCUCCUCUCAGCCGUUUCAGAGCUACAAGAGGCCUUGGCGCUCUGGGGCACGCCCCCGUUUCACAGAUGGGGAAACUCAGACCCAGAGCGGGAAGAGGCCUUUCCCAAGACCACAGACACAUUCCAUGAGUUAAUAAGCAAACGAUUUGAGCCUCGAGAGGUGCGAUAUCCUUAAGAAUGAAGGCAGCUUAGAGACUACAUGCAGACUCUUGUCCAGCGGCUCAAAUGUACAUCCCAGCGAUCUUGAGCAAAUCUCUUUAAGCCUCAGUUUUCUCACCUUUAAUGUUGGUAAUACUCACUUUAGUUCCGUAGUUCAACAAACUCAACAGAUAAGCAUCAUCUUCCCUGUGCCAAGUGCUACGGGAUGGACACAG